rnacentral:rRNA from 1 species
GACGAACGCUGGCGGCGUGCUUAACACAUGCAAGUCGAACGGAAAGGCCCUGCUUUUGUGGGGUGCUCGAGUGGCGAACGGGUGAGUAACACGUGAGUAACCUGCCCUUGACUUUGGGAUAACUUCAGGAAACUGGGGCUAAUACCGGAUAGGAGCUCCUGCUGCAUGGUGGGGGUUGGAAAGUUUCGGCGGUUGGGGAUGGACUCGCGGCUUAUCAGCUUGUUGGUGGGGUAGUGGCUUACCAAGGCUUUGACGGGUAGCCGGCCUGAGAGGGUGACCGGGCACAUUGGGACUGAGAUACGGCGCAGACUCCUACGGGAGGCAGCAGUGGGGAAUAUUGCACAAUGGGCGGAAGCCUGAUGCAGCAACGCCGCGUGCGUGAUGACGGCCUUCGGGUUGUAAACCGCUUUCGCCUGUGACGAAGCGUGAGUGACGGUAAUGGGUAAAGAAGCACCGGCUAACUACGUG